GUGCUUUGGCAACAGAUACUAAAAUUGAAACAAUAGAUUAGCAUGGUCCUUAUACAAGGAUGACAUGCAAAUUAAUGAAGUUGUCUAUUUUUUU
rnacentral:snRNA from 1 species